GUCUACGGCCAUGCCAUCCUGAACUAGCCUGAUGUCUGAUCUCGGAAGCUAAGCAGGGUCGGGGCUGGUUAGUACUUGGAUGGGAGACCACCUAGGAAGACCAGGUGCAUAAAGGCA
rnacentral:rRNA from 1 species